rnacentral:rRNA from 1 species
UACGUAGGGUGCGAGCGUUGUCCGGAAUUAUUGGGCGUAAAGGGCUCGUAGGCGGUUUGUCGCGUCGGGAGUGAAAACACCGGGCUUAACUCGGUGCUUGCUUUCGAUACGGGCAGACUAGAGGCAUGCAGGGGAGAACGGAAUUCCUGGUGUAGCGGUGAAAUGCGCAGAUAUCAGGAGGAACACCGGUGGCUAAGGCGGUUCUCUGGGCAUGUCCUGACGCUGAGGAGCGAAAGUGUGGGGAGCGAACAGG